rnacentral:rRNA from 1 species
UACGGAGGGAGCUAGCGUUAUUCGGAAUUACUGGGCGUAAAGCGCACGUAGGCGGCUUUGUAAGUAAGAGGUGAAAGCCCAGAGCUCAACUCUGGAAUUGCCUUUUAGACUGCAUCGCUUGAAUCAUGGAGAGGUCAGUGGAAUUCCGAGUGUAGAGGUGAAAUUCGUAGAUAUUCGGAAGAACACCAGUGGCGAAGGCGGCUUACUUGGUCCAUGAA